rnacentral:rRNA from 1 species
UACGAGCUGCUACGGCAGCGAAGUGGGUGAUGUCAAGCUUCCAAGAAAAGCCCUAUACCCGUUAAGGCAUGACGGCCUGUACCCGAAACCGACACAGGUGGGGUGGUAGAGAAUACCGAGGGGCGCGAGAUAACUCUCUCUAAGGAACUCGGCAAAAUGGCCCCGUAACUUCGGGAGAAGGGGUGCCACCGCAAGGUGGUCGCAGUGAAGAGGCCCAGGCGACUGUUUACCAAAAACACAGGUCUCCGCUAAGUCGCAAGACGAUGUAUGGGGGCUGUCGCCUGCCCAGUGCCGGAAGGUUAAGGAAGCUGGUCAGCGCAAGCGAAGCUAGCGACUGAAGCCCCGGUGAACGGCGGCCGUAACUAUAACGGUCCUAAGGUAGUGAAAUUCCUUGUCGGGUAAGUUCCGACCCGCACGAAAGGCGUAACGAUCUGGGCGCUGUCUCGGAGAGAGGCUCGGCGAAAUAGAAUUGUCUGUGAAGAUGCGGACUACGUGCACCCGGACAGAAAGACCCUAUGAAGCUUUACUGUAGCUUGGUAUUGUGCCCGGGCUCUGAAUGCGCAGGAUAGGUGGGAGGCUUUGAUCCAUUGCUUGUGGGUAAUGGUGAGCCACUGGUGAGAUACCACUCUUUCAGAGCUAGGGUUCUAACGGUCACCCGUUAUCCGGGGACCGGACAGUAUCAGGUGGGCAGUCUGACUGGGGCGGUCGCCUCCUAAAAGGUAACGGAGGCGCGCAAGGGUUCCCUCAGGCUGGUUGGAAAUCAGCCGACGAGUGUAAAGGCAGAAGGGAGCUUGACUGUGAGACCUACAAGUCGAACAGGGACGAAAGUCGGCCUUAGUGAUCCGACGGUUCUGAGUGGAAGGGCCGUCGCUCAACGGAUAAAAGUUACUCUAGGGAUAACAGGCUGAUCUCCCCCAAGAGUUCACAUCGACGGGGAGGUUUGGCACCUCGAUGUCGGCUCAUCGCAACCUGGGGCUGAAGUCGGUCCCAAGGGUUGGGCUGUUCGCCCAUUAAAGCGGUACGCGAGCUGGGUUCAGAACGUCGUGAGACAGUUCGGUCCAUAUCCGGUGCACGCGCAGGAACAUUGAGAGGAUUUCUCCCUAGUACGAGAGGACCGGGAGGAACGCACCUCUGGUGUACCAGUUAUCGUGCCAACGGUAAACGCUGGGUAGCCAUGUGCGGAGCGGAUAACCGCUGAAAGCAUCUAAGUGGGAAGCCCACCUCAAGAUGAGUGUUCCCAUGGCAUAAGCCAGUAAGGUCACGGGAAGAACACCCGUUGAUAGGCUCUACGUGGAAGCGUGGCAACACGUGAAGCGGAGGAGUACUAAUAGACC